UACAGAGGGUGCAAGCGUUGUUCGGAAUUAUUGGGCGUAAAGCGCGUGUAGGCGGCUUUGCAAGUCGGGUGUGAAAGCCCUCAGCUCAACUGAGGAAGUGCGCCCCGAAACUGCAGAGCUUGAGUGCCGGAGAGGGUGGCGGAAUUCCCCAAGUAGAGGUGAAAUUCGUAGAUAUCGAGAGGAACACCGGUGGCGAAGGCGGCCUUCUGGACAGUGACUGACGCUGAGACGCGAAAGCGU
rnacentral:rRNA from 1 species